rnacentral:rRNA from 1 species
GACAGAGGGUGCAAACGUUGCUCGGAAUUACUGGGCGUAAAGCGCGUGUAGGUGGAUUGUUGUGUCAGAUGUGAAAGCCCUGGGCUCAACCCAGGAACUGCACCUGAAACUACCAGUCUUGAGUGGUGGAGAGGGAAGUGGAAUUCCUGGUGUAGAGGUGAAAUUCGUAGAUAUCAGGAGGAACACCAGUGGCGAAGGCGGCUUCCUGGACAACAACUGACGCUGAGACGCGAAAGCGUGGGGAGCAAACAGG